rnacentral:lncRNA from 1 species
AAUAAAUCCUAAACUUACCAUACACACACCUCACUCAUGCGAGCUAGGGAAACCCGUAUGUGCAAGCGCGACCUUUGCACUUCACGACUCGAAAGCCCACCUUGGUCUCUCCUCUGCUGGGCCCACGGCUGAUGCUAGGUCAGCUUGCUUUGUUGGGCGUCUAACUCAAUUUCUUCUCCCUCGAGUGUGGGUCUAUUGGAUCGAGCCACGAGGUGAGGGCCAGCAUUUAAGUCUUUUUGAUGGGCCUCGAUCAGUCCACCUAUAGAGGUAUGCAUCAUAGGUCGCAUGUUCUAUCCGAACGUGCGGCUUACUAGGUUGUGGGUUGGGCCUAGCAGCCUAGGUGACUCGGGUCACCCGUCCACGGGAACCUCUCCUUUAUGCAUUAUCUCGGACAUGCCACCUUCAUAUUCUAGGAUUAAUCCAAAACCCACAACUCAUCAUUAUUGGUGCUUCUUUGGGCAGGUUAUCUUGGCAGCCCAUAAAGCUUCUCGGUCUUGAUGUCACUGAUGAUCCAUCUUACCUUAUCUAAGCUUGCACGAACUAGAUCCUUGGGCUUCAUUGGAUUGGGUCUUGUUGUCAAAUCUUGAGUUUGUUUCGUUGGUCCAGGCUUUUCCCGAGCUUUAUUUUUGAAUUGGCGUGAAAUUUGAUAGUUACGUUUUAGGUAUUUGGGAUUCCCUCUUAGGGUCACAUCAUCCUCCCUUCUUUAAAAAAAUUUGUCCUCGAAUCCAUCUCACUGCUAUGUAGUGAUCCUAGAUACAAGAAAGAAGCUAAAAAGUAGUGGAAGGUGUUAAAAUGGUACCGGGGUCUUGUGGAACACAUGUGCAUGUGGAAUGGCGCUAAGGUCUUGGUGCAAAAGUUCAUGUUGUCCUACUGCACUCAUCUCUACUACUACACUCACUCUUUUGGUCAAGUUGAGCGUUGGGGUUGGGAUCCCCUUAGUCAAGUCCCUGCAAGUUAUGAAAAAUUACCU